GCCCGGCUAGCUCAAUCGGUAGAGCGUGAGACUCUUAAUCUCAAUAGUUCGACCCCCACGUCGGGCU
rnacentral:tRNA from 1 species